rnacentral:lncRNA from 1 species
ACAUGUGCCAUGGUGAUUUGCUGCACCUAUCAACACAUCAUCUAGGUUUUCAGCCCUGCAUGCAUUAGGUAUUUGUCCUAAUGCUCUUUCUCCCCUUGUCCCCCACCCCGACAGGCCCUGGUGUGUGAUAUUCCCCUCCCUGUGUCCAUGUGUUCUCAUUGUUCAACUCCCACUUAUGAGAGAGAACAUGUGAUGUUUGGUUUUCUGUUCCUGUGUUAGUUUGCUGAGAAUGGU